UCACCAUGCCUGGGAGUUAGGUUGGUUUCCUACUAGCUUAGGAAAUGAGCCAAUGACUGCUAAGUGAUCUUUCUCACCAGGACAGCAUUUUCAGGCUGGGGAAGUGGUUGAAAUUUAUAGUAAUACUAUAUCUUUAGAGAGCAUCUUUCUCUUAGGAGCUUGUUGUAUUUUAUAGACAUUCAGCUUGAUUCUCCCCAGGACCCAGGAGAAACCAGUAAUGGUAAUGACAUACACAAAUACCUAUAAACCUUAAUAAUAGAUGCCCAUAUUGUCCUAGGAAGGAAAUGUCUACCUUGACUGUAGCCUUUCUACUUAGUGGAAAACUCUGCUGAGAGAAACUGCACCUCCAAUGCCUGACUGCCACCCCACUCCUCUCCACCCCCAAGCCCAAAAGGUUGAGCUGCAUCAUGGGCCUGAGUGGAUUUCCCCUUUCAUUCUAGUAGAGGAAAAAUUGUGCUGAUCAUUAUUCUAAUGAAGGAAAUACCACUCUAGAGACUUAUGGUUCAACAAUUCAGUUCAAUAGCAAUUUUGGAGUGGCUACUAUGUGCCAGAUCUUUUGUGACAAAUGGGGUCCUGACUGAAUGCUGAGUCUUUAAGAUGUGGCUCCCAGCCAUGUGCCAACAAAGCAGUGCCAGGCAGGCUGCAUCAGAACUGACUGCAGAGGUGUUUUAACAGAGAUUCCAGAAUCCUGCUGGACAGCUAGUAGGUCUCCGGUGAGUUCCAGGUUUCCACCUUUUUAGAUAAAAUAUGUUUUGACAAAAAAAGGUGAUUUUCUUGAGCUAUCAAAUCUAGGAGUCAUUAUUUUAUAGAUUAGCUACACUGUGAUAGCAUUGUAUUUUAAACAAUUUGGGAAACGCAAAGUGCAGAAAGAACAUUCUUGACUGGCAUGAGGCAGUAGUGGUGUGUGGUGAUAAAAGUUGGAGCUUGGACUCAGACUGACUCUCCUUUUUCUGCUCUGUGUGAUAUUAGCAGCCUCUCAAGAGCUUUAACAUUCUGUUUUGGCACACAGCUGUCUUCUGUAAAAUAGAAGUAAUACUCCCUUAUUUUAUAGGUUGUUUGACUGAUUAAAUGAGAUGUUGCAUGCAAAUUGCGAUUCCAUAGUUACUCUGUUAGUGGUGGUUAUUGCUGCUGUGAUCAUUGGUAAAACUAAGGAAAAAGUCAGACGAUCUGUAUUCACCCUCUUUAUUAGAAUACUGGGCCUCUCUGACAACAGCUCUAUAGGGACAGAUGUCAAACACACACCCACGCGCACACACACACAGUUUACAUGCAAAGUGUGCAUAAAUGGAAGGUAUGGCCAGUAGUGUGUCUCAAAUAACAUUCCACUUUGUCUUAAUCUAAUUAUUUGUUUUAAGAAGCAAGUUAAAAGAACACAGUGUUGUUCUCAUGUAGGUUCCUGAAUUAUUUUCCCUUCAAGCCAAUGUUGGCAUCACUAGUUUUGAGUUCUUCCAACGAGGGCCUCUGCUAUCUUGUAUAUUUAUGAACCCAAUCCAUACGUAUAUUCAGUGUUGACAUGGAAGGGCUGACCAGAUCAUACAUUCUGUGCUAGCAUUCAUCCCAAAGGAGACAGAAAAAAUGCUGGGUACUUUCUGGGAAAAAAAAAAAAUCAAUGGACGUCACAUAGAAACUGCAGGAGAAAAAUCCCUUAAAGUUUUAUAUGUGGCUUCUGCCUUGCAGGUUUAGUCAUCAUCAGUUAAGACAAGACAUUCCCCCUAGGGGAGAAGAGGGAUGUAAGUUCCAGGAAAAGACGAGGGCAGAGCAGAGCCAUUGCCAAGCCAGGAAGGAGAGGGUUAACAGAGCCUAGGAUAGUCACCAGUUAGCACUUGUGAGGAUGUUUUAUAGACACGGCAAGUAAAACAGGCCAGAUUCCAGAUGUCACCGCUGAGGUUACUAGCCUCAGGAGGGAUCUCCAAACAAUCCCUCUUAAUUCCACUUUCUUCACAAGGUGGAAAGAAGAGGGAAAGAGUGUUGGAGAAAGCAAUCAGGGAAGCAGGGGUGGGCAGGGAAUAUGUGAAUGUCAAUAAUGAGAAAGAUGCACUUAUCAUUUAUCAACGUGUUUCCAAAAGUGGUUCUACAAGUGUUUGAUUAAAGGUAUGCAACAGGCAUUUUCUCGUGUUCUUGUUAUCAUGUCAUUGAGGUAUAAUGAUUUUAGUGUUUGUUGAUGUCUAAGGUAGUUUUCCUCAAGAUAUUUAGUAUUUCAUUGGUUCAUUCAUUCUUUCAUGCAAGCAUUCACUGAUUUAUUUACCAAAAAUUCCUUGAACUGUUUGGCAGUUUCUAUAAGCCAAACAAAGAGAUAUUAAGGAUAUUUAUGCCCUUAAAGCUCAUGGAGACAGAGACACAGAGAAAUGGGAAGUUAAUUGUGAUGAGAUAAGGUUAGAGUGAUGGGCAAGUCUCUGGGAGUGUGGAGGUGGGACCAAAGGCUCUGAUGGAGGCUUGGGAAGAAUUCAGAGAAGCAUAUUAUAUGUUGCUAUAUCUUAAAAGAAGACUGUGAUACUUGUAGCUGCACAUAAGGAGACACCCAACCCAGGUAGGGAGUAGGAACUGCUGGGCCUGGAAACUUAAGUAACAUGAAAUUAGUCAAGAAAAAUGAAGCCUAUUUCCAUGUGGAUAGUCCGCUGUGCACUUCGGGUGGAUAAAGAGAGGGAUAGCUGAUUGGAAUCAGGCUGGGGAGACUACCCUUUAUCUCGUGAAAAUAGGGAAAUGAUUCAUGUUGUUUGGCAGGAAAAAUGGUAUGCUCAUUCAGUAUUUUGUGCACAUGUACCUUGUUUUAUUGUGCUUUGCUUUAUUAUGUUUUUUUUUUUUUUUUACAAAUAGGUUUGUGACAACCUUGCCUGGAGUAAGUCUGUUGGGCCAUUUUUCCAACAAUGUUUGCUCACUUUGUCUCUCUGUGUCACUCUUUUGUAAUUCUUGCAAUAUUUGAAGCUUUUCAUUAUUAGUAAAUUUGUCAUGGUGAUCUGUGGUCGGUGAUCUUUGAUGUUAACUAUUAUAAUUGUUUUGGGGACACCAUGAACCACACCCAUAUAAGAUGGCAAAUGUAAUAGAUAAAUACCGUGUGUGUUCUGACUGCUCCACUGACCAUUCCCUGUCUCUCUCUCUUCAGGCCUUCCUAUUCCCUGAGACACAACAAUAUUGAAAUUAGCUCAAUUAGUAAUCUUACAAUGGUCCCUAAGCAUGCAAGUGAAAAAAACUUGUCAAUGUGGCAAAAACUUCAUUGUUGUAGUUAAAAAAAUUGUCGCAGCUACCCCAACCUUUCACAACCACCACCCUGAUCAGUCAGCAGCC
rnacentral:lncRNA from 1 species